rnacentral:rRNA from 1 species
AGAGUUUGAUCAUGGCUCAGGAUAAACGCUGGCGGCGCACAUAAGACAUGCAAGUCGAACGGACUUAAUCGAUUCUUUUAGAUUCGAAGCGGUUAGUGGCGGACUGGUGAGUAACACGUAAGCAACCUGCCUAUUAGAGGGGAAUAACAGUGAGAAAUCAUUGCUAAUACCGCAUAAGCUGAUAGUAUCGCAUGAUAUAGUCAGAAAAGGAGCAAUCCGCUAAUAGAUGGGCUUGCGUCUGAUUAGCUAGUUGGUGAGGUAACGGCUUACCAAGGCGACGAUCAGUAGCCGAGCUGAGAGGCUCUACGGCCACAUUGGGACUGAGAUACGGCCCAGACUCCUACGGGAGGCAGCAGUCGGGAAUAUUGCGCAAUGGAGGGAACUCUGACGCAGUGACGCCGCGUAUAGGAAGAAGGUUUUCGGAUUGUAAACUAUUGUCGUGAGGGAAGAAAAAUGACAGUACCUCAGGAGGAAGCUCCGGCUAACUAUGUGCCAGCAGCCGCGGUAAUACAUAGGGAGCAAGCGUUAUCCGGAUUUAUUGGGUGUAAAGGGUGCGUAGACGGAGAAGCAAGUUGGUUGUGAAAUCCCUCGGCUCAACUGAGGAACUGCAACCAAAACUACUUCCCUUGAGUGUCGGAGAGGAAAGUGGAAUUCCUAGUGUAGCGGUGAAAUGCGUAGAUAUUAGGAGGAACACCAGUGGCGAAGGCGACUUUCUGGACGAUAACUGACGUUGAGGCACGAAAGUGUGGGGAGCAAACAGGAUUAGAUACCCUGGUAGUCCACACUGUAAACGAUGGAUA